UACGUAGGUGGCAAGCGUUGUCCGGAAUUACUGGGUGUAAAGGGAGCGUAGGCGGGUAUUCAAGUCUAAUGUGAAAUCUAACGGCUCAACCGAUAGACUGCGUUGGAAACUGGGUAUCUUGAGUGAAGUAGAGGCAGGCGGAAUUCCUAGUGUAGCGGUGAAAUGCGUAGAUAUUAGGAGGAACACCAGUGGCGAAGGCGGCCUGCUGGGCUUUAACUGACGCUGAGGCUCGAAAGCGUGGGGAGCAAACAGGAUUAGAUACC
rnacentral:rRNA from 1 species